rnacentral:miRNA from 13 species
UGCAUCCCAUGUGACUGCUCUA